CCUGGCUCAGGAUGAACGCUAGCGACAGGCUUAACACAUGCAAGUCGAGGGGCAGCGGGGGUAGCGAUACCCGCCGGCGACCGGCGCACGGGUGAGUAACGCGUAUGCAACUUGCCUAUCAGAGGGGGAUAACCCGGCGAAAGUCGGACUAAUACCGCAUGAAGCAGGGAUCCCGCAUGGGAAUAUUUGCUAAAGAUUCAUCGCUGAUAGAUAGGCAUGCGUUCCAUUAGGCAGUUGGCGGGGUAACGGCCCACCAAACCGACGAUGGAUAGGGGUUCUGAGAGGAAGGUCCCCCACAUUGGUACUGAGACACGGACCAAACUCCUACGGGAGGCAGCAGUGAGGAAUAUUGGUCAAUGGCCGAGAGGCUGAACCAGCCAAGUCGCGUGAGGGAUGAAGGUUCUAUGGAUCGUAAACCUCUUUUAUAAGGGAAUAAAGUGCGGGACGUGUCCCGUUUUGUAUGUACCUUAUGAAUAAGGAUCGGCUAACUCCGUGCCAGCAGCCGCGGUAAUACGGAGGAUCCGAGCGUUAUCCGGAUUUAUUGGGUUUAAAGGGUGCGUAGGCGGCCUUUUAAGUCAGCGGUGAAAGUCUGUGGCUCAACCAUAGAAUUGCCGUUGAAACUGGGGGGCUUGAGUAUGUUUGAGGCAGGCGGAAUGCGUGGUGUAGCGGUGAAAUGCAUAGAUAUCACGCAGAACCCCGAUUGCGAAGGCAGCCUGCCAAGCCAUGACUGACGCUGAUGCACGAAAGCGUGGGGAUCAAACAGGAUUAGAUACCCUGGUAGUCCACGCAGUAAACGAUGAUCACUAGCUGUUUGCGAUACACUGUAAGCGGCACAGCGAAAGCGUUAAGUGAUCCACCUGGGGAGUACGCCGGCAACGGUGAAACUCAAAGGAAUUGACGGGGGCCCGCACAAGCGGAGGAACAUGUGGUUUAAUUCGAUGAUACGCGAGGAACCUUACCCGGGUUUGAACGCAUUCGGACCGAGGUGGAAACACCUUUUCUAGCAAUAGCCGUUUGCGAGGUGCUGCAUGGUUGUCGUCAGCUCGUGCCGUGAGGUGUCGGCUUAAGUGCCAUAACGAGCGCAACCCUUGCCACUAGUUACUAACAGGUGAUGCUGAGGACUCUGGUGGGACUGCCAGCGUAAGCUGCGAGGAAGGCGGGGAUGACGUCAAAUCAGCACGGCCCUUACAUCCGGGGCGACACACGUGUUACAAUGGCGUGGACAAAGGGAGGCCACCUGGCGACAGGGAGCGAAUCCCCAAACCUGGCUCAGUUCGGAUUGGAGUCUGCAACCCGACUCCAUGAAGCUGGAUUCGCUAGUAAUCGCGCAUCAGCCAUGGCGCGGUGAAUACGUUCCCGGGCCUUGUACACACCGCCCG
rnacentral:rRNA from 1 species